AUUGAACGCUGGCGGCAGGCUUAACACAUGCAAGUCGAGCGGGGGAAGGUAGCCUGCUACUGGACCUAGCGGCGGACGGGUGAGUAAUGCUUAGGAAUCUGCCUAUUAGUGGGGGACAACAUCUCGAAAGGGAUGCUAAUACCGCAUAUGUCCUACGGGAGAAAGCAGGGGAUCUUCGGACCUUGCGCUAAUAGAUGAGCCUAAGUCGGAUUAGCUAGUUGGUGGGGUAAAGGCCUACCAAGGCGACGAUCUGUAACGGGUCUGAGAGAAUGAUCCGCCACACUGGGACUGAGGCACGGCCCAG
rnacentral:rRNA from 1 species